GCUCUGACAGUGUUGCACUACU
rnacentral:piRNA from 1 species